AACGCACAUUGCGCCCUUUGGCAUUCCGAAGGGCAUGCCUGUUCGAGCGUCAUUAUCCUCUCUCAAACCUCGGGUUUGGUGUUGGACCGUGUUGGACCGCCUAUGGCCAACUGGUCUCAAAGACAAUGACGGCGUCCCAGGGACCCUCUUCGCACUGAGCUUUCCGGAGCACGCGUUGAGUUUCAAGGACCCCAGGACCCGGUCACCUCUAAAUUUUUCUUAAGGUUGACCUCGGAUCAGGUAGGAAUACCCGCUGAACUUAA
rnacentral:misc_RNA from 1 species